UACGUAGGGUGCAAGCGUUGUCCGGAAUUAUUGGGCGUAAAGAGCUCGUAGGCGGUUUGUCGCGUCUGCUGUGAAAACCUGGGGCUUAACCCUGGGCCUGCAGUGGGUACGGGCAGACUAGAGUGCGGUAGGGGAGACUGGAAUUCCUGGUGUAGCGGUGAAAUGCGCAGAUAUCAGGAGGCACACCGGUGGCGAAGGCGGGUCUCUGGGCCGUAACUGACGCUGAGGAGCGAAAGCAUGGGGAGCGAACAGG
rnacentral:rRNA from 1 species